rfam:Enterobacter aerogenes KCTC 2190, complete genome.
AAAUUGAAGAGUUUGAUCAUGGCUCAGAUUGAACGCUGGCGGCAGGCCUAACACAUGCAAGUCGAGCGGUAACACAGAGAGCUUGCUCUCGGGUGACGAGCGGCGGACGGGUGAGUAAUGUCUGGGAAACUGCCUGAUGGAGGGGGAUAACUACUGGAAACGGUAGCUAAUACCGCAUAACGUCGCAAGACCAAAGUGGGGGACCUUCGGGCCUCAUGCCAUCAGAUGUGCCCAGAUGGGAUUAGCUAGUAGGUGGGGUAAUGGCUCACCUAGGCGACGAUCCCUAGCUGGUCUGAGAGGAUGACCAGCCACACUGGAACUGAGACACGGUCCAGACUCCUACGGGAGGCAGCAGUGGGGAAUAUUGCACAAUGGGCGCAAGCCUGAUGCAGCCAUGCCGCGUGUAUGAAGAAGGCCUUCGGGUUGUAAAGUACUUUCAGCGAGGAGGAAGGCGUUAAGGUUAAUAACCUUGGCGAUUGACGUUACUCGCAGAAGAAGCACCGGCUAACUCCGUGCCAGCAGCCGCGGUAAUACGGAGGGUGCAAGCGUUAAUCGGAAUUACUGGGCGUAAAGCGCACGCAGGCGGUCUGUCAAGUCGGAUGUGAAAUCCCCGGGCUCAACCUGGGAACUGCAUUCGAAACUGGCAGGCUAGAGUCUUGUAGAGGGGGGUAGAAUUCCAGGUGUAGCGGUGAAAUGCGUAGAGAUCUGGAGGAAUACCGGUGGCGAAGGCGGCCCCCUGGACAAAGACUGACGCUCAGGUGCGAAAGCGUGGGGAGCAAACAGGAUUAGAUACCCUGGUAGUCCACGCCGUAAACGAUGUCGACUUGGAGGUUGUGCCCUUGAGGCGUGGCUUCCGGAGCUAACGCGUUAAGUCGACCGCCUGGGGAGUACGGCCGCAAGGUUAAAACUCAAAUGAAUUGACGGGGGCCCGCACAAGCGGUGGAGCAUGUGGUUUAAUUCGAUGCAACGCGAAGAACCUUACCUACUCUUGACAUCCAGAGAACUUAGCAGAGAUGCUUUGGUGCCUUCGGGAACUCUGAGACAGGUGCUGCAUGGCUGUCGUCAGCUCGUGUUGUGAAAUGUUGGGUUAAGUCCCGCAACGAGCGCAACCCUUAUCCUUUGUUGCCAGCGGUCCGGCCGGGAACUCAAAGGAGACUGCCAGUGAUAAACUGGAGGAAGGUGGGGAUGACGUCAAGUCAUCAUGGCCCUUACGAGUAGGGCUACACACGUGCUACAAUGGCAUAUACAAAGAGAAGCGACCUCGCGAGAGCAAGCGGACCUCAUAAAGUAUGUCGUAGUCCGGAUUGGAGUCUGCAACUCGACUCCAUGAAGUCGGAAUCGCUAGUAAUCGUAGAUCAGAAUGCUACGGUGAAUACGUUCCCGGGCCUUGUACACACCGCCCGUCACACCAUGGGAGUGGGUUGCAAAAGAAGUAGGUAGCUUAACCUUCGGGAGGGCGCUUACCACUUUGUGAUUCAUGACUGGGGUGAAGUCGUAACAAGGUAACCGUAGGGGAACCUGCGGUUGGAUCACCUCCUUA